rnacentral:rRNA from 1 species
CGUUAAGCAAUUCCCUUGGUAAGUAUGACCCUAAGAUUAAUAAUCAAACAAAUUGACGAGACUCCGCACAAGCAGCGUAAUUUGUGGUAAAGUUAGCAGCUUCACGAAGAUCGUUACCGGGGUUUUACAUCUAGGUGGUAGGGAAGGGAAAGCGGAGCGCCCCUUGGACGAGCCUAGCCAGGUGUUGCAUGGCUGUCGUCAGGUCGUGCCGUGAUGUGUCGGGUUAAGUCCGCUAACGAGGGCAACCUUUGCCUUCCGUUAAUUGUGUCAGAUGCGACGGCCGUGCCUAAGCCGGAGGAAGGGGGGGAGGAGGUGAAGUCAGCUGGGCGUUCACAUUCUCGCCUACACACCCCAUGCAAUGCACAGUACAAAGGGCAGUGAACCCAAGAGGAGGGGCGGAUCCCAUCAAAAAAAGUGGUAGCAGGUAUGAUUGGAGGCAACCACCCGGCACCAAGAAGUAGGAGUUUGUAUCCAUGUCUCAUCCAUAGUGCGGUGUAUACGUUGCCGGGGGUUGUACACCCCGCCCGCCAUCUCAUGGGAGUCGACGGCACCGCAAGCCGGUGGCCUAGCUCCCAAUAGACGC